UCCCAUGUGGCUCAGCUGGUAUAGCAUCCGCCUGCAAUUCGGGAGACCUGGGUUCCAUCCCUGGGUUGGGAA
rnacentral:tRNA from 1 species